GCCUGGAUAGCUCAGUUGGAAGAGCAUUCGCCCGGCAAGCGGAAGGUCCCCAGGUUCGAAUCCCGGUCCAGUCC